rnacentral:rRNA from 1 species
CAGUAGCCGCGGUAAUGCGAAGGGGGCUAGCGUUGCUCGGAAUGACUGGGCGUAAAGGGCGCGUAGGCGGCGAUCAAAGUCAGGCGUGAAAUUCCUGGGCUCAACCUGGGGGCUGCGUUUGAUACUUGAUUGCUAGAGUGGGGAAGAGGGUCGUGGAAUUCCCAGUGUAGAGGUGAAAUACGUAGAUAUUGGGAAGAACACCGGUGGUGAAGGCGGCGACCUGGUCCUUGACUGACGCUGAGGCGCGAAAGCGUGGGGAGCAAACAGGAUUAGAUACCCCCGUAGUCCCUGUCUCUUAUAC